AUUCUUCUAGUAUAUUAGUACAAGUGACCUCCAAUCACUUAGUUUCAGACCCCUCUGAAGAAGAAUA
rnacentral:tRNA from 1 species